UACAUAGGGGGCAAGCGUUAUCCGGAAUUAUUGGGCGUAAAGGGUGCGUAGGCGGUCUAUUAAGUCUGAGGUGUAAGUGCAGGGCUCAACCCUGUGAUGCUUUAGAAACUGGUAGACUUGAGUGAGAUAGAGGCAAGUGGAAUUCCAUGUGUAGCGGUAAAAUGCGUAAAUAUAUGGAGGAACACCAGUGGCGAAGGCGGCUUGCUGGGUCUAUACGGACGCUGAGGCACGAAAGCGUGGGGAGCAAAGAGGAUGAGAUCACCGGGAAGUCCACGCCGUAAAUGAUGAGUACUAAGUGUUGCGAGAACGCAGUGCUGAAGUUAACCUAUUAAGUACUCCGCCUGAGUAGUACGUACGCAAGUAUGAAACUCAAAGGAAUUGACGGGG
rnacentral:rRNA from 1 species